rnacentral:rRNA from 1 species
AACGAACGCUGGCGGCAUGCCUAACACAUGCAAGUCGAACGAGACCUUCGGGUCUAGUGGCGCACGGGUGCGUAACGCGUGGGAACCUGCCCUUAGGUUCGGAAUAACUCCCCGAAAGGGGUGCUAAUACCGGAUAAUGUCUUCGGACCAAAGGUUUAUCGCCUUUGGAUGGUCCCGCGUUGGAUUAGCUAGUUGGUAGGGUAAAAGCCUACCAAGGCGACGAUCCAUAGCUGGUCUGAGAGGAUGAUCAGCCACACUGGGACUGAGACACGGCCCAGACUACUACGGGAGGCAGCAGUGGGGAAUAUUGGAAAAUGGGCGAAAGCCUGAUCAAGCAAUGCCGCGUGAGUGAUGAAGGCAUUAGGGUUGUAAAGCUCUUUUACCCGGGAUGAUAAUGACAGUACCGGGAGAAUAAGCUCCGGCUAACUCCGUG